rnacentral:misc_RNA from 1 species
CUGCGAGUUCGCGGGAGAGUAGGUUAUUGCCAGGGUUUUUUAUUUUAUACUUUAAAUCUUGAAUUUAUUUUUUAUGUUUUUUAAAUGUUCAUUUUUUUGAAUGUUUGAUUUAAAAAAAAUAUAAAAAAUAAAAUAGAUAUUGACAUGGAUUAAACAAAGAUAUAUAUUAUUCUAUGUUGCAUAAACAAAUUGGCAAAGUAGAGAUGGAAGAUAAAAAUAUGGUCAAAGUAAUAAGAGUCUAUGGUGAAUGCCUAGGA